CCAACUGGGCAGAGGGAGCCUCCUCACAUCAUCACUGGUGCUGGGUCUCCUUAGGCUGAGCUUCUCUUUGUUUAGCUGCUUCCUUCUGCUUGCUCAUGAAGAGUUGAAGUACUUGGUGGACCUGGAAGCUCACAGUUAGGACUUGGCAGAUAAGAAGAAUGUUGGCAGGCGAUGAGCUCCCUCUAUGCAAAAAAAACCCCAAAACAACAAACAAACCAAACCACAAAUGUUCAUAUAAUGAAGACCUGACACCUCCGUGGGAAGGCUCUGCAAGCAUCCCACAGGACUUUAACAGGAUAAACAGGAAAAAAAAGUUCCCUGGCCCAGACUGAAAGAGAUAAGUACACAACUGGUUCACUGUCACUACAUUUUGCAUCAAACCUAGGACCUUAGCAGCUCUCACAUAAUCCUUUUAACCCAGUACAACCAUCAGUGAUGCAAGCAAGGUAGCAGACACUCCUCUACUCAACAGCAGGUUAGAGAAGGUGUAACACUCCAUACUAGAGAGUCAUGCAAACUUCCAGCAUUUCCCAACAAGACUGUCACCAAAUCUACUUGGAUCUGAAUGCAGCUUUCACCUGCAAGUGGGCAAGCAUCUAAAGUUUACCUGAAGCCUUCAAAUUACUUCUGAUGUCACUCCCAUAACAGCAAUACAGACACACACACAUUCCCUGAUGAAGAUACGCAGCAGGACUGCACCAAAACAGAACACCUGCUCUGCACACUGCACACACCACCACUGUCAUCUACCACAUAAGGGGCUGGGCUCACAUUCACGUACCCAUGCCAAUCUCACAUAGCAGUGAAACUGGAUCUCAUGUCUUAAAUGUGCUACCAGGUUACAGCUCCGCUUCCUCCUAUUGGGGUAACUGCAAGAGUUCCCAGAAAGCAAGACAGUGACUAUGUUACACACUGAUGAAGAAAUAAGUGAUACAUUCUGUUUCUCCUUGCCACGGCACACCUGGAUAUUUGUCUACUCGGUGACUAUUUACUGUCUGUCAAAAUAUGUGGGGAAGCAAAAAUUAAAUUCCAAAAGGAACAAAGACAUUUGCAGUUCAUUCAAGUUUGACGAAGCAGUCAGAGUAGAGGUUAGGGAGUAAAGGAGAAAAAGAGAAAGGAGAGGAGAAAAAAAAUCUCAGAAA